UGGUGGCUAAGUUCCCCCGUAACAUAUAUAUAUAUAUAUAUACACAUCACCUAGAAAAAGCAGGUAACCGAAGGCAAUUGCUUAUUAAAUUUUUAUGGUGUUACUCCAGCUUCCAUAUUGUUUUCUUUUUAAUCUUAAUGGCGUUGCCUUCGAACUUUGAAUAGUAAAAGUCAGCGCCUUCGCAUCCGGGUCUAACUACCUACUUCCGAUUAACAUAAUUCAACAGCGAAAUAGUAAAUAGAGGGAGUAGCUGCAGGAACAACUUUGAGUGGAUGUUUACUAGUUUCUUUCUGUUUCUUCUUUCUUAAUUUUCUUAUUUGUUUGAAAGGAAGAAGAAAGAGUGGGACUGUAGGAUUCCACUCUAAAACGAAAGAAGCUUAUCUAAAGUUCAACCUCAACAGAGCUACCAAGCCAAGUCCAAAAUUACACAACCA
rnacentral:lncRNA from 1 species